UACGGAGGGGGCUAGCGUUGUUCGGAAUUACUGGGCGUAAAGCGCGCGUAGGCGGGUCUUUAAGUCAGGGGUGAAAUCCUGGAGCUCAACUCCAGAACUGCCUUUGAUACUGAAGAUCUUGAGUUCGGGAGAGGUGAGUGGAACUGCGAGUGUAGAGGUGAAAUUCGUAGAUAUUCGCAAGAACACCAGUGGCGAAGGCGGCUCACUGGCCCGAUACUGACGCUGAGGCACGAAAGCGUGGGGGAGCAAACAGG
rnacentral:rRNA from 1 species